GACGAACGCUGGCGGCGUGCCUAAUACAUGCAAGUCGAACGCUUUUUCUUUCACCGGAGCUUGCUCCACCGAAAGAAAAAGAGUGGCGAACGGGUGAGUAACACGUGGGUAACCUGCCCAUCAGAAGGGGGUAACACUUGGAAACAGGUGCUAAUACCGUAUAACACUAUUUUCCGCAUGGAAGAAAGUUGAAAGGCGCUUUUGCGUCACUGAUGGAUGGACCCGCGGUGCAUUAGCUAGUUGGUGAGGUAACGGCUCACCAAGGCAACGAUGCAUAGCCGACCUGAGAGGGUGAUCGGCCACACUGGGACUGAGACACGGCCCAGACUCCUACGGGAGGCAGCAGUAGGGAAUCUUCGGCAAUGGACGAAAGUCUGACCGAGCAACGCCGCGUGAGUGAAGAAGGUUUUCGGAUCGUAAAACUCUGUUGUUAGAGAAGAACAGGGAUGAGAGUAGAACGUUCAUCCCUUGACGUAUCUAACCAGAAGCC
rnacentral:rRNA from 1 species